rnacentral:rRNA from 1 species
GAUGGACGCUGGCGGCGUGCUUAACACAUGCCAGUCGAACGAUGAAGCCCAGCUUGCUGGGUGGAUUAGUGGCGAACGGGUGAGUAACACGUGAGUAACCUGCCCUUAACUCUGGGAUAAGCCUGGGAAACUGGGUCUAAUACCGGAUAGGAGCGUCCACCGCAUGGUGGGUGUUGGAAAGAUUUAUCGGUUUUGGAUGGACUCGCGGCCUAUCAGCUUGUUUGUGAGGUAAUGGCUCACCAAGGCGACGACGGGUAGCCGGCCUGAGAGGGUGACCGGCCACACUGGGACUGAGACACGGCCCAGACUCCUACGGGAGGCAGCAGUGGGGAAUAUUGCACAAUGGGCGCAAGCCUGAUGCAGCGACGCCGCGUGAGGGAUGACGGCCUUCGGGUUGUAAACCUCUUUCAGUAGGGAAGAAGCGAAAGUGACGGUACCUGCAGAAGAAGCACCGGCUAACUACGUG